rnacentral:rRNA from 1 species
CUGGCUCAGGAUGAACGCUAGCGGCAGGCUAACACAUGCAAGUCGAGGGGCAGCGCGAGUAGCAAUACUUGGCGGCGACCGGCGCAAGGGUGCGUAACGCGUGAGCAACAUGCCCGUAUCAGGGGGAUAAUCCAGGGAAACUUGGUCUAAUACCCCAUAGUAAUUUUGUAAGGCAUCUUAUAAGAUUUAAAGCUUUGGUGGAUACGGAUUGGCUCGCGUGACAUUAGCUGGAUGGUAAGGUAACGGCUUACCAUGGCUAUGAUGUCUAGGGGUUCUGAGAGGAAGGUCCCCCACACUGGAACUGAGACACGGUCCAGACUCCUACGGGAGGCAGCAGUGAGGAAUAUUGGACAAUGGAUGGAAAUCUGAUCCAGCCAUGCCGCCGUGAAGGAAGAAGGUCCUAUGGAUUGUAAACUUCUUUUGUAUGGGAGCAAUAAGGCCUACGAGUAGGUUGAUGAGAGUACCAUACGAAUAAGCACCGGCUAACUCCGUGCCAGCCGCCGC